rnacentral:rRNA from 1 species
AACGAACGCUGGCGGUGUGCUUAACACAUGCAAGUCGAACGAGCUCUUCGGAGCUAGUGGCGGACGGGUGAGUAAUACAUAGAUAACCUGCCUUAAAGUGGGGGAUAACUAGCCGAAAGGUUAGCUAAUACCGCAUAAUGUAGUUAAUUGUAAUAUUAACUAAGAAAGGAUUUAUUCGCUUAUAGAGGGGUCUAUGGUUGAUUAGCUAGUUGGUGGGGUAAGAGCUCACCAAGGCGACGAUCAAUAGCUGGUCUGAGAGGACGAUCAGCCACACUGGGACUGAGACACGGCCCAGACUUCUACGGAAGGCAGCAGUGGGGAAUUUUCCGCAAUGGGCGAAAGCCUGACGGAGCGACACCGCGUGGAGGAUGAAAUUUUUCGGAAUGUAAACUCCUUUUGGCAGGAAUGAAACAAAUGACAGUACCUGCAGAAUAAGCAUCGGCUAACUACGUG